GUAGGUGGCAAGCGUUGUCCGGAAUUAUUGGGCGUAAAGCGCGCGCAGGCGGUUCUUUAAGUCUGAUGUGAAAGCCCACGGCUCAACCGUGGAGGGUCAUUGGAAACUGGAGAACUUGAGUACAGAAGAGGAAAGCGGAAUUCCACGUGUAGCGGUGAAAUGCGUAGAGAUGUGGAGGAACACCAGUGGCGAAGGCGGCUUUCUGGUCUGUAACUGACGCUGAGGCGCGUAAGCGUGGGGAGCAAACAGGGAUUAGAUACCCUGGUAGUCCACGCCGUAAACGAUGAGUGCUAAGUGUUAGGGGGUUUCCGCCCCCUUAGUGCUGCAGCUAACGCAUUAAGCACUCCGCCUGGGGAUACGGCCGCAAGGCUG
rnacentral:rRNA from 1 species